CAGUCGCCGCGGGAAUACGUAGGGUGCGAGCGUUAAUCGGAAUUACUGGGCGUAAAGCGUGCGCAGGCGGUUCGUUAAGACAGAUGUGAAAUCCCCGGGCUUAACCUGGGAACUGCAUUUGUGACUGGCGGGCUAGAGUAUGGCAGAGGGGGGUAGAAUUCCACGUGUAGCAGUGAAAUGCGUAGAGAUGUGGAGGAAUACCGAUGGCGAAGGCAGCCCCCUGGGCCAAUACUGACGCUCAUGCACGAAAGCGUGGGGAGCAAACAGGAUUAGAUACCCCCGUAGUCCCUGUCUCUUAUAC
rnacentral:rRNA from 1 species